GGUGAGUAAUGCCUAGGAAAUUGCCCUGAUGUGGGGGAUAACCAUUGGAAACGAUGGCUAAUACCGCAUAAUGCCUACGGGCCAAAGAGGGGGACCUUCGGGCCUCUCGCGUCAGGAUAUGCCUAGGUGGGAUUAGCUAGUUGGUGAGGUAAUGGCUCACCAAGGCGACGAUCCCUAGCUGGUCUGAGAGGAUGAUCAGCCACACUGGAACUGAGACACGGUCCAGACUCCUACGGGAGGCAGCAGUGGGGAAUAUUGCACAAUGGGCGCAAGCCUGAUGCAGCCAUGCCGCGUGUGUGAAGAAGGCCUUCGGGUUGUAAAGCACUUUCAGUCGUGAGGAAGGUAGUGUAGUUAAUAGCUGCAUUAUUUGACGUUAGCGACAGAAGAAGCACCGGCUAACUCCGUGCCAGCAGCCGCGGUAAUACGGAGGGUGCGAGCGUUAAUCGGAAUUACUGGGCGUAAAGCGCAUGCAGGUGGUU
rnacentral:rRNA from 1 species